AUUGAACGCUGGCGGCAUGCCUUACACAUGCAAGUCGAACGGCAGCACGGGAGCAAUCCUGGUGGCGAGUGGCGAACGGGUGAGUAAUAUAUCGGAACGUGCCCAGUCGUGGGGGAUAACGUAGCGAAAGCUACGCUAAUACCGCAUACGAUCUAUGGAUGAAAGCGGGGGAUCGCAAGACCUCGCGCGAUUGGAGCGGCCGAUAUCAGAUUAGGUAGUUGGUGAGGUAAAGGCUCACCAAGCCGACGAUCUGUAGCUGGUCUGAGAGGACGACCAGCCACACUGGGACUGAGACACGGCCCAGACUCCUACGGGAGGCAGCAGUGGGGGAAUUUUGGACGAAUGGGCGCAAGCCUGAUCCAGCAAUGCCGCGUGCAGGAUGAAGGCC
rnacentral:rRNA from 1 species